AAAAAAAAGUAAACACAUUCACCAGCUACUAACUUCUCAGUUUUUGUCAGAUUUAAAGCAAAAAUAAGGAAAAGGACAUGGAGCCUCUGGCGAGGUGGACUAAUGACGAGACUCAGGCGCUUAUCUCAGUGUGGUCAGAAGAGAAAAUACAGCGCGGCCUGGAGGAAUCGUUCAGAAAUGAGAAAGUAUACAGGGAAGUGUCAGGUAGGCUGGCAGCCAUGGGGAUGAUUCGCUCUGGGAAGCAGUGCAGGGAGAAGAUUAAGAAGCUUAAACAAGAAUACAAUAGAAUAAAACAGCAGGUUGAGACAGACGGGGCCAACACACAGACCUUCAAGUGGUACGACCAAAUGGAGACUGCCAUGAGUGAAAAGCCAGCUAUGACACACAUUACACAACUUGGCAACUCAGACAUGGAAACAGACGCGUCCUUGGGCCAUUGGUCAAAUAAAGAGGUCCAGGCAUUGUUGAGACUUUGGGCAAACCCCACUGUUCAAGAAGAGCUUCUCCUCAACACGAGGAAUAAUGAAAUUUAUGCUGGCAUCAGUGCUAAACUAGCAUCGCUCGGAUUCAACAAGGAGCCAAAGCAGUGCCGGGAGAAAAUCAAAAAACUGAAGCAGGAGUACAAGAGAAUCCAAACCGGUGAAUACAAGAUUGGAAGCCACAGCUCCCAUAAAAGUGUAUGGUUUGCCAUCAUCGAUGAAGUCCUCAGUCCCAAGGCUGCAGCAGCGAGGCGUUCAGGAACAACAGAGGCCUCCUUCACAGAGCCCUCACUGCUCAGUCCCUCACCGUCUGCCCUGGAUGUGGAUGCUGAUGAUGAACCCCAGUGGUUCCCUGAUGAAGUCCAAGUGCUGAUGACCCUCUGGGCUCAACCAAACAUUCAGAAACAGCUUCUCACCUCAGCAACAAGCAAUCAAGUCUUCAUGUACCUCAGCAGUGAACUGGCACUGGUGGGGUUUAACAAGACACCACAGCAGUGCAGUCUUAAAGUGGAUAAACUUAAAGAGGAGUACAGAAGAAUGAAGAAAGCAGAACCAUGUGGGGAAGUUAGAAACGACUGGUUUGCUAUCUUGGAUAGUGUCCUUGGCCCCAGGGGAGAGACUUUUACAGAGGUGGAUUCAUCUGCUGUGUUGACAAAAGCUAAAUCACCAGAACACCAGCCAACAAAUGAUAUGUCACCGGCUAUUUGGACAUCAGAUGAAAUCAAAGUGCUGGUCACCCGAUGGGCAAAGGAGAGUACCCAGAAACAGCUUCGAUCAGCUCACAGAAAUGAAAGAGUGUUUGCUGAGUUAAGCGCCGAGCUGGCCACUUACGGCUUCGAUAAGACCUCCAGACAAUGCAGGACAAAAAUAAAAACGUUGAAACACCAGUACAGACUGGUAAAGGAACAGAAGGACCUUAAAAAGCAGAAAAGCAGGUGGUUCAUCAUUCUGGAUAAAGUCCUUAGCCGUGAAGCAGAAGCUGAAGAUGUGGAUUCAGCCCCCACGUUUGUGCAGACAUCACAGCAAGACCUUCCUGAAACAGAGGAAGACUCAGGUUGCCGCUUGUCCUUGUCUUCAUUGUGUCUCCUGGUUCCAGCCCUGCGUCUGAUAUGUGCCUUUGCCUGGCAAGUGGUGCAGUGCUGUAAUGUGCCACAUUAUGGAAAGGUGGAGGAGCUGGUGAGGCUGGUGACAGAGCUGGCUCCAGAGUUGCUGACGCCCAAAGAGAAAGUGCAGCUCCUGCUCAGACUGAGGGCGAGAAUGGUGUUGGAAUUGUGUCGCAGUGAGAGCACAGCCCACCUGCUGAAUGUUCAGCCUCACCUGGAGGUCAUUCAAAACCUCGCCAUGGUCUCCACCUGUGAUCAGCAGGAGUUGGAGGAGUUGGAAAAUUCAAAGUCAAACUUUGUGGAUGUUGUUCACAUCCUGCUGGAGGAUACUGAGGAGAGAGAGAUGUUUUUCAAGGAGGUCUUCCCCAUCCACUAUGGCCAGGAGUACGAAGCCACGCUGCACACAUUAGUAUGGAAGUUCAUCUCCAGAGUGGAUAAUCUUUUGCCUGUACCGGAUAUUAAACAGACCGCAGAGUGGCUCAGCACUGCCCCCUCUGUCAUGGAGGAAUGUGGACAGCUGGCUUUGGAACCAGAGCAGCUGAAGGUGCUGCUGCACUUCCACCAGCAACAGUCAGGAGGCGCAGACAAACGACACUCUCAAACUCAGGAAAUGUUUUUGCCAAGACUGUCUCUUCCUCACAAACCAAAGUUGUUGCAGCUCACUUCAGAGCAACAGGAAGUGUCCUUAGGUGAUGUGGAUGAAGAAGAGUUUGAUUAUGGCGAGGAUGAGGAGGCUGUUGAGGAAAACCAAACGGGUGAUAAACCGACUCUGGAGGACUAUAGCGAAGGAGGUGAAGACCUAAAGUUCAAAGAAGAACAGGAGGAUGACCGGACAGCUGCAGAGUGCUCAACCAUGUGUCAGGUCUUCUGCAGCACAUCAGACAGGCGCAUCAGGAACCCAACCGACUUCAGUCUAAAGAACCCACGACAGCCAAUGAGAUGAGGAGCACAACAAACACUUCUGUCACUGGCUGAUGGAGACAGAACUUUGCCUCACUGGAUGGUGUUUAGGCAACAGAUUAGCACUCUAGCUGGCCUGGCUCUGACUGAAGAUUGUGGGAUAUACCACCUUAAAGUGUCUGAUAUUGAAGAGCAGUGUGCUGCCUACUUCUACCUGCACAUUCUAAACAGAACAUUGACUGACAAGGACCAAGCAAGAUCACGAUGUACAGAGCUCCGGGUCUAUUUCUUCUUGCCCUAACCAACAACAUCAGCGAGUCAGGGCACGAAGUCUGACCACCUAUCUCUUCCUGACCCAGUCCUUUUAAGCGUAUACAUUUAUUUGUGACGCAAGCAUUGCCAGUGGCGUUGCUAGGGAUACCUCGUUCCUUUCUGCUGACUCCGUUCUUAUCUGCUGCUCCAGCUCCUCUUCUCUCUGAAACACAUAUCAGAACAGGAAACACAGCUGCCCAUAAGGCCGCUGUGAGUGAGUCGCUUCUGCUACACACAUUUCAUGAGACGCUCUUUGUUUCCUCUCACCUGCACAUUGUCUAAAGGUCAUGUCUAGUUCAUCUACUGAUAUUUUCCACUCAAGCAGUCACGUUCCUCUGCACUUGUCCUCUUAUUAUGCAAACUAGUAAUUUUAUGCAACUAUUAGUAGGAACGGGUGUGCAUUCAAUAAAUGUACUAUUUACAUUUUCCUUCAGCUUAUCAAAUGUCCAGUAUCCAACAGCACUAGGGCCUUUUCUGAAAAGAUCCUGGUAUACGUUCCAGUACGUUCCGGCUCAAAUUAAGCACUGCUGCUCACGGUUCUUAACAUGAAGUGGACUGAGCUGGCAGCUAGCAGCUGACAGUGCUAACAGUAUCAACAGCAGUGUUGUUACCCCUAACUCUGCUGACAUGACAUCACAAAAGAGGGAGCGUAUGGCAGGAAGCUGGGGUCCAUCGGGACUGAAACCUGACGCCAUAAAACAGUUACAUCCCAACUGCAGUGGGCUGCAUCAACAAGGACCAGGACUGGUCAUAUAUUUAUUCAAAUUUUUCUAUUCAAUAUUUAAGUUGAGUGUUGCAGUUCUUUGUCUUUAUUUUUAUUUCCUCUUAAUAUAUUGAUCAUAUAUUUAAUGUAUGCACCAAAGACCAAAGCUAAUUCCUUGCAUGUGAAAACCUGCUCGGUGUUAAAUCAUACUCUGAUUCUGAAGUAUUUAUCCCAUAAUGUUAACAUGUUGACAACUUUCUCAAACUGACAAUAAGAAAAAUACACACGAUCACAACUUGUCCUUUAAAAUGAAUGAAAGACAGAUUUUGCUGUGUCUCUCUGUCUGAUAGGGAUACUUUGUCCUGCUCUGAGGGAGAGACGACCAUCUGGGCUAACCUUCUACUUCAGUUAAACCCUGCAACUCUUGAUGCCAGCCAGCGUAUCCGUUUGGUCAGCACCAUGGCCGUGUGCCUGCGCCUGCCGCUUGGCUUUGUCUACCUGUUUUCAAGAAAAAAAUUGUCCACUCAACAACAAGAGAAGCUCAGAGUUUGUAAGCAAGGUGGGCUUGCUGAGAUACUUACUUGUGAUAAUGAGAUACAAGAUGCCUUAGGAGAUGUUGCUGAGGUUUUGUGGCCUGCCAGCUGUCAAGGAGAGGAAGGACAAUCUGAUUUAGCCGCAGUACUGGAAUGCAGUGUGAAGGCAGGAGGGUUGGCCAGGUUGCUAGAAGCUCCUGUUUUGGGAUGGAGGGCGCUAUGUACACCUGGAAGUGUCCGGCAUGAAGUUAAGAGAUACUUGCAAAGGCUAAAAUUUACACCCACUCCAAAUAUUAUUGUUCCUCCGCCAACUCAGGUCCAUCAGACUGUGAAACCUGAGCAUUCACACAUAUAUUCUCUUUCUUUGGCCAAGCUGGAACCAAGUUUGUGGACCAGUUUGAUGCACAUGGGGACAAGAAUGGAGCCAACACAUAUGAAGGACUCAAUUGGGAAUACAGAUUACAUGCAAAAAAUACAAGUGUCCUCAAAUUCCCUUUUCUUGAUCCCACAGACAACUUUGUACUCAGACAGCGCUCAUGUUUAUGCUCUCCUGGAAAGUCAAGUAUUCACUGGGAAAAUUGUUUUUAAAAGUUUACCGAACUGGCCUUCGGUUCACAGUUCUCAGAAACGUAACUCUAUAAAUCAAACUGCCUCAAGAACAAACCCUCCUGUAGAAGCAACUCUCUGCAGCGACAGAGUAUCAGAAAUCACAUCAGACACAUCUGAAUAUUUCCGAACCACAGGCUUAUUUCUUUCACCCUUUUUUCCUAAGCGUACAUCAACAGUCAGGAUGUUUCCUGCAGCUGACACCGCACUUGCAACAUUGUUAGCAUCAACCACACUGUCCAGUAUUUACCCCUCAG